rnacentral:rRNA from 1 species
UGUCGGGUAAGUUCCGACCUGCACGAAAGGUGAAACGACUUUAUAACUGUCUUGAGAAGAGACUCGGCGAAUUUGAAUUGGCUGUGAAGAUGCGGCCUACUGGCAGCAGGACAAAAAGACCCCGUGGAGCUUUACUACAACUUGGCACUGAAAUGUGUGCUGUAACUGUUUAGCAUAGGAGGGAGCACCGACAAUUUAUUGUUGGUGCGAUAGUGAAAUACCUCUCUUUGCGACGCACGUUUCUAACCUAAUCCAAAUGCAAACUUUGGAGGGAACACUGUCUGGUGGGUAGUUUAACUGGGGAGGUUGCUUGCUAAA